GUACUUCCAUGAAAUUAAAAAAAUUUGAGAACUACAAGCCUUCAGUACCAAGUAGUUCUGAUCAAACGGUACUUCCAUGAAAUUAAAAAUAUUUGAGAACUACAAGCCUUCAGUACCAAGUAGUUCUGAUCAAACGGUACUUCCAUGUUCCAAGUGCGUCGUGUGAAUCAUUAACGCGAAUGCAAAGUAUUUAUCAAUGGCGUUUUGAAAAGCAGUGCAAGUAAAAGUUGCUUUCAAAUUGAAUCGCUGUUAUUGAUUAGAGAUGACGCUAAUGCGGAUACACCACGCGGGUAGGAGUAGGAAAUGCAGGCUAAUGAUCGAGAUUAAAUAAUUAUAACGAACCACUAUUGAGCACUAAUUAAACUUAGUAAGCAACAAAUUCCAAUACAGUAACAAAAUCCAACUGUAUGGAAGCUGGCGUUACUACACCCUGCAUUAAAACAAAAACACCAACAAAAUAUUGAAAUUAUAUGCUGGUCCAACGAGGAUGAUGUUAAUAAUGGCAAUGUCACAAAGUCGAUUUUUAAAACCAUUUAAUGGUUUGUUCGAAAUGAAAUGUAUAUGUGUGAAGUAAUUAACAAAGCUACGAGAUUAGGAGAACUCGAACUAUAUACAAGUUUCCAGUAGUCUUUCCACAAUAUGCAAUCAACAGUAGCAACAGCAGAUACUAUUUUUGAUCCAAAUAAGAAAUAACAUCAUCGCAACGAACCUUCAAUCCAAUAACCGAUGGUUAACAAAUUUCCACAUUAUUUUGGAGGCAAACAGUGAAAAUAAAAUGUUUGAUCCUCUGGAAUCUUGGAGGCAAUGUCAAAUAUGGGUACACAAAAGCAGAACAAAAUUCAUAACAAAAAAAUAUAUUUACAAACAUUAUCAAUUUAAGGUAAUUUAGAUCAUAAGUUUUAAACUCCAAUCGAAUAUCAAAUUGAAUAUUAUACACAAUAUAAAUUUAUCAUAUUUAUAUAAAUUUAUUUC